rnacentral:misc_RNA from 1 species
AAAUCGAUUCGGUAUCAAUGA